rnacentral:rRNA from 1 species
GAUGAACGCUGACAGAAUGCUUAACACAUGCAAGUCCACUUGAAUUUGGGUUUUUAACUUAGGUUUGGGUGGCGGACGGGUGAGUAACGCGUAAAGAACUUGCCUCACAGCUAGGGACAACAUUUGGAAACGAAUGCUAAUACCUAAUAUUAUGAUAAUAGGGCAUCCUAUAAUUAUGAAAGCUAUAAGCGCUGUGAGAGAGCUUUGCGUCCCAUUAGCUAGUUGGAGAGGUAACGGCUCACCAAGGCGAUGAUGGGUAGCCGGCCUGAGAGGGUGAUCGGCCACAAGGGGACUGAGGCACGGCCCUUACUCCUACGGGAGGCAGCAGUGGGGAAUAUUGGACAAUGGACCAAGAGUCUGAUCCAGCAAUUCUGUGUGCACGAUGAAGUUUUUCGGAAUGUAAAGUGCUUUCAGUUGGGAAGAAAGAAAUGACGGUACCAACAGAAGAAGUGACGGCUAAAUACGUG